UACGUAGGGGGCAAGCGUUGUCCGGAUUUAUUGGGCGUAAAGCGCUCGCAGGUGGUUCGAUGCGUCGUGCGUGAAAGCCCCCGGCUCAACUGGGAGUGUCGUGCGAUACGGUCGAACUGGAGGCCAGUAGGGGGAUGCGGAAUUCCUGGUGGAGCGGUGAAAUGCGCAGAGUAGUCAAGGAGGAACACCCGUAGCGAAGGCGGCACUCUGGGCCGAUACUGACACUGAGGAGCGAAAGCGUGGGGAGC
rnacentral:rRNA from 1 species